rnacentral:rRNA from 1 species
AAAUAGAUACCCAGGUAGUCCACGCCGUAAACGAUGAGUGCUAAGUGUUAGGGGGUUUCCGCCCCUUAGUGCUGCAGCUAACGCAUUAAGCACUCCGCCUGGGGAGUACGGCCGCAAGGCUGAAACUCAAAGGAAUUGACGGGGGCCCGCACAAGCGGUGGAGCAUGUGGUUUAAUUCGAAGCAACGCGAAGAACCUUACCAGGUCUUGACAUCCUCUGACAACUCUAGAGAUAGAGCGUUCCCCUUCGGGGGACAGAGUGACAGGUGGUGCAUGGUUGUCGUCAGCUCGUGUCGUGAGAUGUUGGGUUAAGUCCCGCAACGAGCGCAACCCUUGAUCUUAGUUGCCAGCAUUCAGUUGGGCACUCUAAGGUGACUGCCGGUGACAAACCGGAGGAAGGUGGGGAUGACGUCAAAUCAUCAUGCCCCUUAUGACCUGGGCUACACACGUGCUACAAUGGACGGUACAAAGAGUCGCAAGACCGCGAGGUGGAGCUAAUCUCAUAAAACCGUUCUCAGUUCGGAUUGUAGGCCG